rnacentral:RNase_P_RNA from 1 species
AGGUAAGGGUGAAACGGCGAGGUAAGAGCUCACCGCGUCCACGGUAACGGCGGACGGCACGGUAAACCCCAUCCGGAGCAAGACCAAAUAGGGAAGCAUGGGCGUGGCCCGCGCUGCUUCCGGGUAGGUUGCUUGAGCCUGUCGGUGACGGCAGGCCUAGAGGAAUGAUUGCCGAACCUCGCAAGAGGGGAACAGAACCCGGCUUAUCGGCCGGCUUUCCAU